ensembl:lncRNA
GGGGAGCUGGUGUGCUUAACGAUGGGGAGCAGGUGUGCUUAACGAUGGGGAGCUGGUGUGCUUAACGAUGGGGAGCUGGUGUGCUUAAUGAUGGGGAGCAGGUGUGCUUAACGAUGGGGAGCAGGUGUGUGUAAUGAUGGGGAAUACCUCAUGGUAAACUGUAGACCCUUUAAUCUACCAAGAGAGUUCUCAUCCGUAAUUAUCACGGCAAUCUACAUCCCUCCACAAGCCAACACCACUCUGGCAACUCAACAAACUGUAUGGAACCAUAAACAAACUAGAAACCACUCACCCAGAGACAACGUUUCUGGUGGGCGGAGAAUUUAACACGUGGGAGACAUAAAACCGUCCUACCUCACUUCUACCAACACUUCUGCUGCGCCACUAGGAGUGAUAAACCUCUAGACCAAUUAUAUUCUACCCACAGAAACACAUACAAGCCCCUCCCUCCUCCUCCCU